rnacentral:rRNA from 1 species
GAGUAACACGUGGGUAAUCAACCCUCGGUACCGGGAUAGCCCGAGGAAACUCGGAUUAAUACCGGAUGGCCCAACAGCUCUUCGGGGCGGUUGGGAAAGGUAGCUUCGGCCUCCGACCGAGGACGAGCCCGCGGCGGAUUAGCUUGUUGGUGGGGUAACGGCCUACCAAGGCGACGAUCCGUAGCUGGUCUGAGAGGACGAUCAGCCACACUGGGACUGAGACACGGCCCAGACUCCUACGGGAGGCAGCAGUGGGGAAUCUUGCACAAUGGGCGAAAGCCUGAUGCAGCGACGCCGCGUGAGGGAAGAAGGCUUUCGGGUUGUAAACCUCUUUCAGGAGGGACGAAGCUACUCGGGUUAAUAGCCCAGAGGGUGACGGUACCUCCAGAAGAAGCCCCGGCUAACUACGUGCCAGCAGCCGCGGUAAUACGUAGGGGGCAAGCGUUGUCCGGAUUUAUUGGGCGUAAAGAGCGUGUAGGCGGCCAGGUAGGUCCGUUGUGAAAACUCGAGGCUCAACCUCGAGACGCCGAUGGAAACCCCCUGGCUAGAGUCCGGAAGAGGAGAGUGGAAUUCCUGGUGUAGCGGUGAAAUGCGCAGAUAUCAGGAAGAACACCCGUGGCUAAGGCGGCUCUCUAGUACGGUACUGACGCUGAGACGCG